rnacentral:rRNA from 1 species
GAUGAACGCUAGCUACAGGCUUAACACAUGCAAGUCGAGGGACGCGCGCACGGGUGAGUAACACAUACCCAACCUCCCCUAUACUCGGGGAUAGGCUGUCGAAAGAAAGUUUAAUACCCGAUACACGGAAGGGGGAUGCGUUCCAUUAGGUUGUUGGUGAGGUAACGGCUCACCAAGACUUCGAUGGAUAGGGGUUCUGAGAAGAAGGUCCCCCAGAUUGGAACAGGGACACGAUCCAAACUCGUACCGGAGGCAGCAAUGAGGAAUAUUGGUCAAUAGGCGUGAGCCUGAACCAGCCAAGUAGCGUGGAGGAUGAACGCUUAUGAGUCGUAAACUUCUUUGAUAUAAGAAUAGGUAUUAUAUUAAUAAGGAUCGGCUAACUCCGUGCCAGCAGCCGCGGUAAUAC